rnacentral:rRNA from 1 species
AGAACGAACGCUGGCGGCAUGCCUAACACAUGCAAGUCGAACGAACCCUUCGGGGUUAGUGGCGCACGGGUGCGUAACGCGUGGGAAUCUGCCCUUAGGUACGGAAUAACUCAGGGAAACUUGUGCUAAUACCGUAUGAUGUCGAGAGACCAAAGAUUUAUCGCCUAGGGAUGAGCCCGCGUAGGAUUAGCUAGUUGGUGGGGUAAAGGCCUACCAAGGCUACGAUCCUUAGCUGGUCUGAGAGGAUGAUCAGCCACACUGGGACUGAGACACGGCCCAGACUCCUACGGGAGGCAGCAGUGGGGAAUAUUGGACAAUGGGCGAAAGCCUGAUCCAGCAAUGCCGCGUGAGUGAAGAAGGCCUUCGGGUUGUAAAGCUCUUUUACCCGGGAAGAUAAUGACUGUACCGGGAGAAUAAGCCCCGGCUAACUCCGCGCCAGAGCCGC